CUUCUCAGGAGCAGCCUACUUCUGAUGACUGAGGAAGACAAGGGUAUAAAUGUCCAGUGCUUUCAGUUCAAUAUAAGACAAUGCAGAUAUUUAUUCCAAAUCAAUCCUGCACCAGAAGCUCCAUUUCUGCAUUCGCUUCCAGAAAACACAGCAGCCGUAUGUGAAUUUGGGAGUGGUCCCACGAACCGGUUAUGAGACGAGGUUUUGGAGCUGGAUCACACCUGACACAACUGGCAUUGAAAACCUUAUUACCAAGAGCCUCUGGCACAAGGCUGCUAUGAAGAAAUACCCAAGACUGGGUACUUUCUCAACUUUCAAAUUGAGCUGUUCAGAAUGUGUGAAACAAUUUUAAGAUGAAGUCAAAGAUACUUGAAGCAGAAGCUGUAUCUGAGGAAGCUGUAUAUAAACCCAAUUUAAAGCAAGUUUAACCUGCUGAUUGGGAAGAAUUUUUAUGAAAAGCUGUGUGCUUCCUGAUAAGAAAAAAGGCUUUCCUGUUUCGAUCAAACCAGAACCAGAUGAGAACUCAGCACAGGCACUGCAGCCACGGAGGUUUCCAGAUAGAAAAAUUGACACCCCUGAGAUCCCAUAACAUUUUGGGGACUCAUCUGGGAUCUGCGGAAGGAGCUUGACUCUUUUCAUUGGCAAUAAAUGGCGCCCCAACAUGGGGACUCAGAGAAGACUCAGGAGCCCCAAGCAGUUGUCCGAAAUCAGAGCUAAGGUACCAGCCAGGGUUAAUUGAAGACUCACCAAGUUCAAGCUUCUCCUUUGGUGGAACUGUCUCCCUGGCUUGAAAUCAUUGCACCAGAAGAGGCACUGGGACACAGAGCUGAGAUUGAAGAACACUUGAAAAUUAUCAAGAAUGUACUGCGGAGUAUUGAAAUUGCAAGUUAUCAUCAAAGGAAGCU
rnacentral:lncRNA from 1 species